rnacentral:rRNA from 1 species
GGGAUAACCCUCGGAAACGGGGGCUAAUACCGAAUAGGACCUUCGGACGCAUGUCUGAGGGUGGAAAGUUUUUCGGCCUGGGAUGGGCUCGCGGCCUAUCAGCUUGUUGGUGGGGUGAUGGCCUACCAAGGCGACGACGGGUAGCCGGCCUGAGAGGGCGACCGGCCACACUGGGACUGAGACACGGCCCAGACUCCUACGGGAGGCAGCAGUGGGGAAUAUUGCACAAUGGGCGGAAGCCUGAUGCAGCGACGCCGCGUGAGGGAUGACGGCCUUCGGGUUGUAAACCUCUUUCAGCAGGGACGAAGCGCAAGUGACGGUACCUGCAGAAGAAGCGCCGGCCAACUACGUGCCAGCAGCCGCGGUAAGACGUAGGGCGCGAGCGUUGUCCGGAUUUAUUGGGCGUAAAGAGCUCGUAGGCGGCUUGUCGCGUCGACCGUGAAAACUUGGGGCUCAACCCCAAGCCUGCGGUCGAUACGGGCAGGCUAGAGUUCGGUAGGGGAGACUGGAAUUCCUGGUGUAGCGGUGAAAUGCGCAGAUAUCAGGAGGAACACCGGUGGCGAAGGCGGGUCUCUGGGCCGAUACUGACGCUGAGGAGCGAAAGCGUGGGGAGCGAACAGGAUUAGAUACCCUGGUAGUCCACGCUGUAAACGUUGGGCGCUAGGUGUGGGGGGCCUCUCCGGUUCCCUGUGCCGCAGCUAACGCAUUAAGCGCCCCGCCUGGGGAGUACGGCCGCAAGGCUAAAACUCAA